rnacentral:rRNA from 1 species
UAUAGAGGGUGCGAGCGUUAAUCGGAAUUACUGGGCGUAAAGCGUGCGUAGACGGUUAUUUAAGUCGGAUGUGAAAGCCCCGGGCUCAACCUGGGAAUUGCAUUCGAGACUGAAUAGCUAGGGUACGGUAGAGGGAAGUGGAGUUUCCGGUGUAGCGGUGAAAUGCGUAGAUAUCGGAAGGAACAUCAGUGGCGAAAGCGACUUCCUGGACCAGUACCGACGUUCAGGCACGAAAGCGUGGGGAGCAAACAGG